rnacentral:rRNA from 1 species
UUGAACGCUGGCGGCAUGCUUUACACAUGCAAGUCGAACGGUAACAGGUCUUCGGAUGCUGACGAGUGGCGAACGGGUGAGUAAUGCAUCGGAACGUGCCCAGUCGUGGGGGAUAACGCAGCGAAAGCUGUGCUAAUACCGCAUACGAUCUAUGGAUGAAAGCGGGGGAUCGCAAGACCUCGCGCGAUUGGAGCGGCCGAUGUCAGAUUAGCUAGUUGGUGGGGUAAAGGCCCACCAAGGCGACGAUCUGUAGCUGGUCUGAGAGGACGACCAGCCACACUGGGACUGAGACACGGCCCAGACUCCUACGGGAGGCAGCAGUGGGGAAUUUUGGACAAUGGGCGCAAGCCUGAUCCAGCAAUGCCGCGUGCAGGAAGAAGGCCUUCGGGUUGUAAACUGCUUUUGUACGGAACGAAAACGCAUCGGUGAAUACCCGGUGUGGAUGACGGUACCGUAAGAAGAAGCACCGGCUAACUACGU